CGGGGUGCUGGGCGGCGACGCGCAUGCGCUGGCAGCUGCGAGGGGCCGCGCUGCGCAGGCGCCGCCGUUGAGCCGGGGUUGAGGCGGGCAGCACGGCGCGCCCCGUCCCGCCGCGUUCAAACGGCCUCCGCCGCGUGUCCCCCGUGGAUCCGCGGCCUCGCGGGUGCCGCCCUGGCUGCUGGCAGCCUGCGGGUCCGCACGGGGGAGCGACGGGGGCAGCGGCCCCGGCCCCGCUGUAACCCGGCUUCCGUGAAGCCCUCCGAUGUCACAGCCUCCGGCUUCGGAGAAGGGUUUGACCGCAAGUAAAUGUAAGUAAAAUUUGAAGGAGCAAAACAAAGGCCUUUCUGUGGCAAAAGUGACAAAGGAUGAUGCAAACACUCAAUCUCCUUACAAGGCUGUUCCCUCAUGAACUUGAGCAGGAUCAGGGACAUCUGAUCCUAAGUCAAAGUCAGAAGACCAGCAUAGAACCCCGGAUGCAUUGUUGACAACACUCCAAACAGGAAGAUUUUGAAGACUAACAGAAGUGCACUGGAGCUUGCCACAUAGACUAUGCCUGUAAUGAAUGAAUGACACUCAGAGAAAAGGUGACAGAAAGAAACAGUAUCAGUGCAAACACACUGUUCAGUAGAACUUUUCAGCUUGCAUUUCAAGCAAAUGUUCUUCUCUUAAAUUUCACGCUUUUAAGAGUUUGUAACAAGAUGAAUUUUUCACAUUGAAGGUUUUAGGCUUAGCUUUUAUUUGCUGGUGACUUACUGAACAGGACAUUUUUUGUAUACGCCGCCUUCCAUUCCACAGUUUCCAAACCUAUCUCCUUUAAUAUUGGCUUUUUCAAAGCACACAUCAGGCGCUUUUCGUGCCCCUGUAUGAAUAAUAGCAAAUGUUAAUAAGCCAUCACACUGUCUUAGAAAAAUAAGAAAGAAAAAUAAAAAUCUGAAAUGUC